CAGGUGGCGUCGACGACAAGCGGAGGAGGAGAGGCGACGGAGCUCACCUAGGUUGAGGUUUCGAGGACGAUUAGACCAGGUGCGUACGCGACUAUCGAAUACGACGGCUCAGGUGGCAGCGGAGGAGCAAUGGCGGCAGCGAUGACUGGAGAAAGCUAAACGCGUGAAGGAGCGGCCCA